rnacentral:lncRNA from 1 species
CCCAGGCCUUCAGCCCUGGAGUCAUCGGUUCAUCAAGCUCCGUGGUGGUCUUAAAAUAUAUCCACAAAUUUUCUGACAUCCUCUCUUCAAGAAGUGGAGCUUAAUUCCCUUUCCUUUGAGUGCAGACCACUCACUCUGGGAGAAAGCAACUGGCUAUGUCAUGAGGAAAUUGAAACCACCUAUGGAGAAAGGCCCACAUGGUGAGAAAGUAAAGCCUCUUCCCAAUACCAAAAUUCUGUAAGUCUGCUACGGUGACAUUUCUGGUUAGGAGUCAGAGUGGAUGGGACACUGAGCAAUAAGAAUGCAGAGACAUGAUGGCUGAAGCUGGAGCUUUUCCCUGAAGCAACCACCUGUUGGAAACUUCAUGUUGAAGAUGACUGAAUAAUAAGACAGAGGGGUCUGGGUCCCUGGUGGAUAUUCCAGAUCUGGGUGUUCGUGGAGAUAUGAGAAAG